AGGUGUUUCCUCAGUACAUCCCGUUCCCUCAGGUACCAGGAGGACAGGGUUUUCCCUAUUACAUGAGUUACGGAUUCCCUCAAAGAAACACGUUUCUUAAACCCUUGCCCAAUCAGAACACAGCAGUCCAGAAUGCAGCCAAUCAGAACCCCGUCAGACCCACAAAGGUCCCUCAGCCUGUGCAGAAUAAAGUGAAUGUGUUGGAGCCAUUGCGCAUGACUCCGCCCCCUGAUAACCGAGGGGACCGUCCUGGGCGUGGUGUCGAGGGGG